rnacentral:rRNA from 1 species
UACGAAGGGUGCAAGCGUUACUCGGAAUUACUGGGCGUAAAGCGUGCGUAGGUGGUUUCUUAAGUCUGCUGUGAAAGCCCCGGGCUCAACCUGGGAAUUGCAGUGGAUACUGGGGAGCUAGAGUAUGGUAGAGGGAAGUGGAAUUUCCGGUGUAGCGGUGAAAUGCGUAGAUAUCGGAAGGAACACCAGUGGCGAAGGCGACUUCCUGGACCAUUACUGACACUGAGGCGCGAAAGCGUGGGGAGCGAACAGG